ACGUGACGCCAAUAAUUUUUUCUUCCUUCUCUUUACCUGCUGCAGCAAUUCAAUCUCCUUCUCAAUGAUUUUUUUUCUUUUUCUUUACUUUUGCUCUCUCUCUCAUCCCAAUUUUUCCCAGCUCUCGGGUGGGGGUUUGGGGUUUGAAUUUUCAUAAUUUUGGUGAAAGAUUGUGUUUUAAGAUAACUUUAGUUUAUAAUGUAGUAAUUGGCAAAUCAACUUUGAGUUUUUCGUAAAGACAUUUUAGUUCAGAAUUUUAUAACUUAGAACACAGUAAUAUUUAUUAGGUUUUGGAGUCUCUAAUUGUAAAUACGCUUGCUCUAGGAGACUUAUGGGUCCUUUAGUUACCUCAAAAUAUAUUGUUUGAGAAAUACAUUAUUUGUGUAAUACAUUAUUAGAAUCACAUCUCAAUCUGAUAUGAAAUUUACAAAUAAUUCUCGGGUGCGGACUGUUUUCUAAGUUGGUGGCAACCCUAAGUCGAAAAUUUUUCUAUUUAAUCUUUUAUUUAUUUUUUAUAUUUUUAUUUUCCUUCAUUUUGUUUUUCUUGUAUGGUUAAGUUUGUGACAGAUCCAUUUCUUCAUGAUACCAGGUACUUUUAGAUCGCCCGAAGUUAUCAAAUUUGCAUUUUUUACGCUAACCUUUCAACGAAAAUUUACCCCAAAUCUCUGACAUUUAAGUUCUUAACUCGAUUUUUUUGAAAAGGAAUUUGUCUAUUUCAGCUUACCACAAGUGAUGUAAAUAAUAUCUUUUUGUUUUCUGUGUAUAUGUAUUUUGUUUGUGCCUUUCCAAUGAACUGAUGAAAUAAUUGUUUGCUUUUUUAACAAAUUAUAUGUAUUUUGAUGCCUAAUAAUAUUCCAUGGAAAGCGCCUGAAAUUCUCGUCUCAUAAUUUGCGGUUCACCCACGGGAGGUGUCAGAUCGAAAUCUAAUUAAAUGGGUGUCAGAAUUUUAAAAUCUUAAAUUUUUAGUUUUUUAUUUUAUUUUUCAAGAAAGAGAUAUAAGAGACAAAAAAGGGCGGUUUGCUUGCGGUUGUCGAGACCAGACCAACCCCCUUUCUCAACACUUUCCAAAUGACUAUUUAUACCCUCAUCUGUCUCUGCAACUAAAUUGACCAAAAUGCCCCUACAGGUGUCUCAAUGUAACCCUAGUUUCUACUUUGGAACAAGUGGGCUUUAUGAUAGAGUUCUUAAAACUCAGAAUCGCAUGAGUUAGAUCGAAUUGGGUGCCAAAAAAUCUAACCGGAACCCAUAAUCAUCCAAGUUUCCUCAUUCUUGUUAAAAAUUUCAUGCUUUGGCUCAAUAACAGCCCAAGACAAACUAUAAAAAUCAAAAUUGGUCAGUUGACUCAGAAUCGAGCCCACAUUGGUCAAAUGAGGCAAAGGUAAGGGGUGGCAACAUGUCAGGCCUGACCCGAACCUGGAUCAGGACCAAGAACCAAAUGGUAUUCGGGUGUAGAUUUUGGGAUUUGACCAUACCCGGAUUUGAGGUAGGAUCUACCUGUCGGGUCUCGGAUCCGGUCGAAUCCAUUGCCACUUUAGGCAAAGGCCAUAUCUUUGGCCUCAAUUGUCAUUUACUAAAAUGUGAUGGCAGUUACGAAGUUUUAGAACUGGGAGAGGGGGUUCUCUAAUAUUCAAAAUAAACAUUCCGAGGGAACACGUGCUUGCUUUUUGAUGCUGUCUAAAGCCGAGGAUGUCAGUAUAGAUAUCAAUUAAUCGCCACUCUGGGUGACUCCUCGUGCAGGUGUUUCUCUUUUUUUUUUAUUUUUUCGGCCUCAUUAAUUUAAUUUAUUUUUUUAUUUUUUGCCUUGUUUUCAAAGUUAUCAGAGAUUUACUCAAGCUGGGUUAGUCAACAACGCAACCCCAGGCCCUCAUUCAUGACCUUCCAAACACUCAGUUUAAAAAUAAAUGGCGAUUAAUUGUUCUUGUUUUUUUUUUUUGACAAUCAUCUGCUUCCCUUUUUUUCUUUUUUCUUGUUUUUAAUCUUUGGUGUUAGGAUUGUAAUUACGGCUCGACGAGUUUUUAUUGAUGAAUCCCAGGAGUUUAGUCCAAGGCAAGAUGGCAUUCAUGACUUUCCAAACACAGUUGAAAAGAAAUGGCGAUUAAUUGAGUUUUGGAUUUUAAAUUGUAUAGUUUCUCGGCGUUAGGAUGGUGAUUAUGACUCGACGAGUUUUUAGCGAUGAAUCCGAUGAGUCAAAGGGAAGAUGCCAUCAUGAUGUGUGAUUGAUGCCAAUGGGCUAUGAGAGGACUAGACCUGGGUUCUUUUGGCUUUCAAUUCCUCGGCCACUCCUCGGGGACCAUGGAUCGAGGAAUGUUCCGUCAAUUCCUCGGAAAUUAAUCGGGAAAAUGCCGAUAAUGUUUGAAUCGGAGGAGAAAUGGAGAUCAGACGGUACGUGUGGUCACCAUUACACGUGGGAUCCACCGUUUGUAAGAAAGUUUCUCGACUGAUGGAUGGAUUUUGAUGCCCGUGUCGUAGUUUAUGGAUCGUGUGAUCUUUCUUGACCAAUUUAUGGACCGUGUGAUUUUGGACCAAUUUUAUG
rnacentral:lncRNA from 1 species